rnacentral:rRNA from 1 species
GCCUACGGGGGGCAGCAGUGAGGAAUAUUGGUCAAUGGUCGGGAGACUGAACCAGCCAAGCCGCGUGAGGGAUGAAGGUACAGAGUAUCGUAAACCUCUUUUGUCAGGGAACAAAGGCGGGGACGCGUCCCCGGAUGAGUGUACCUGAAGAAAAAGCAUCGGCUAACUCCGUGCCAGCAGCCGCGGUAAUACGGAGGACGCGAGCGUUAUCCGGAUUUAUUGGGUUUAAAGGGUGCGCAGGCGGGAGCGCAUGUCAGCGGUAAAAUUGAGAGGCUCAACUUCUUCCCGCCGUUGAAACGUCGUUU